rnacentral:tRNA from 1 species
GAGGGUAUAAGUCAAGUGGUAGAGCGCAUGUUUAGCAUGCAUGAGGUCCUGGGUUCAAUCCCCAGUACCUCCU